ensembl:snRNA U4 U4 spliceosomal RNA
AGCUUUGCGCAGUGGCAGUAUCGUAGCCAAUGAGGUUUAUCCGAGGCGCGAUUAUUGCUAAUUGAAAGUGAGCAAUUCAGUGGCAUUCACAGAGUAGAGCAGCCACACCCCGAUCUAGUUCCAGAACAUUUUUAUCUAGCUCCAGAAC